UACAGAGGGUGCGAGCGUUAAUCGGAAUUACUGGGCGUAAAGAGCGUGUAGGCGGCUUGGUAAGUCCGCUGUGAAAGUCCAGGGCUCAACCCUGGAAUGCCGGUGGAAACUGUCAAGCUUGAGUCCGGAAGAGGCGAGUGGAAUUCCUGGUGUAGCGGUGAAAUGCGCAGAUAUCAGGAGGAACACCAAUGGCGAAGGCAGCUCGCUGGGACGGUACUGACGCUGAGACGCGAAAGCGUGGGGAGCAAACAGG
rnacentral:rRNA from 1 species